rnacentral:rRNA from 1 species
GACUCUCGGCAACGGAUAUCUCGGCUCUUGCAUCGAUGAAGAACGUAGCGAAAUGCGAUACUUGGUGUGAAUUGCAGAAUCCCGUGAACCAUCGAGUCUUUGAACGCAAGUUGCGCCCGAGGCCAUUAGGUUGAGGGCACGUCU